UAGGCAGCAGUGGGGAAUUUUGGACAAUGGGGGAAACCCUGAUCCAGCAAUGCCGCGUGUGUGAAGAAGGCCUUCGGGUUGUAAAGCACUUUUGUCCGGAAAGAAAACUUCGGGGCUAAUACCUCUGGAGGAUGACGGUACCGGAAGAAUAAGCA
rnacentral:rRNA from 1 species